rnacentral:tRNA from 1 species
UGCUAAGAGGGGGAAUUUAACCCCCAUUUAAGCGUUU